CACUUCCAACAUGUCCCAUUCCUUUUCUUUUUAGGUUGACUGAUCUUCUUCUUUCCUUUUUAUCUCCAGGUUUACUGGUACGUACAACCACCAAGUGUCUCGGUUGCAUCUGACCUGUGCUCGAGAUUACUGCCAGAAUAAAUUGAACUUUCUUGAUAUGCAGCAAUUGUUGAUGGCCUCCACUAUGAAAUCAGGGGUUUUUACACCUAUGAGAACAUAUCAUCAAAUAUGGUGAUUGCCAAUGAUGUUGAACUUAAGUCAACCGUUAAGACCAAUCAAAUAGAUCCUCUUACCACCGUUGUGCCAAGAUACUACUUCAAGUUUACUGACUUUUCACAUGUUCUCUCCCCAGGAAAAGGUUCACAGAUUUCUACAGAUGUUCUGGGAAGGAUCAAAGCUACUCAACCGCUUGAACAAGUUUUGGUUUGAGGGAAAACAAUGGAGAACAAGAGGGAGUUUAUACUUUAUAACACAAGGGGUGAUGAGAUGCACAUGACUCUGUGGGGCGACAACACAAGGAAUUUUGAUGAAGCCACUCUUCAAACACUCCAAUCCCCCAUCACAUUAAUUGCUUUCGCUGGUUUUUGUGUCACCGAGUACCAAGGCAGGCAAAACCUUAAUGGAUCAACUGCUUCUAUUUGGUACUUUAAUCCAGACACUCAUGAAGCAUUGGCUUAUUACCAUUAGAUAUGAGGUCCACAUGCCCCACAUCUAUAGCAGACUAUGAUAUUUUCAAUGGAUGGUGGUAUCCGAGUUGUCCUUGCUGCAACAAAAAGCUUGGUGGCACCAAGACAAAUCCAGUAUGCAUGGAUCAUGAUGCCAUAACAUCGUUACCGAUGCCAUGGUUUUGAUUUGACUGUGUUGCCGCUGACGAGGAAGAUGUUACUAACUCUCUUAUAGUUGGUUGGUUAUCGCACAUCAUUAUGUUUACUGUAGAGAAUUUAAUGACCCCAUGAUUAUUGCACCUCCGAUGGCAAGUAAGCUCAACAAGGCAUAUAUUUUUCAGCUGUGGUUUGGGGCUUUCAGAUCAACAACCAAUCGCUGCGAGAUUAUUGUGCUAAAUUACAUUAACAUUAACAUCGUACUGCUAACUUUUUUGGCAGAUCACGUUGUUUUAAAGCUAUUUGAUUUUAAGGACCUAGCAACCUUAAAUAUUUAUAUUUUAAUACUGUCAAUAUUAGCAUUUUUCUUUUUUACAAAAGCAGAAAAAUGAAUUUUCCUCUCAUAAUUUCUUUGUUUUCAUCAUGUAUUGUCCUUUCACCUAUCUUUUCUUCCCUUUAACACCUUUACAUUAUGAUUACAUUUACAUUCUCAUUAGAUUAAUUUACCAACAACAUCAUUUAGACAACUUAUUAUGCAUCAAAUUUUUCAUUUCCAUCAAAUUUGAGGUGAUGACAUUUUGCCAUUGUCAAUGUAGCAGAUCUGCGUUCAUUUAAUGCAGUUUUCAUGCUGCAGAUGCUAUGUUGCCAACACAAACAUGAUGGUUUUCUAUGCAUAUCUUGGACCGUUUCCGUGAUGCAAGAUAAUCGAUUCCAUACCACCAUGUGUAUGAUAAUUAUAGCCAGCAGGCACUAAUCACUAUGUGUUCAAGCUACUGCUCAAUCGAUGACAGCUCUAUCAUCACUUUUGCUAAAGAAGCUGAGAGUUCCUUUCUUUACUUGCAUAUGCUUUUGUUUAGACCUUUUGUGUUUGACUUUAUCAUUUUCGCCCUUUUUUUAGUGCAGGGACACACAAUCAUGUUGUUAAUAUUUCCUUUCUAAUUGUCAAAGUGGCUGCAACAUGCACUAAUGAUCUUCCACCUGU